rnacentral:misc_RNA from 1 species
UGACCCUGCUCAGGACGAACCCGCUGGCGGCCUGCCUAAUACAUGCAAGUCGAGCGGACAGAUGGGAGCUUGCUCCCUGAUGGACCCGGCCUUUGGCACGACAUCAUCAUGUUGAUCGGACACCGGUCUUACUGUCGUUUUUUAAAACACUACGCGAAGAUAAUACGGAUUCCCCUUAUACCGGGACUCCACCUCUGGUUUGAGACUCAUACCAACGAUGAUCGAUUCACAAUCCUCUGGUAAAGCAUCUGAACCACUCGGUUUGUUCAAUCAAUCUUCGAGAGCCGAGUUCGUAUUAAAUGCUAACCUAUGCGGGGAUAUUACAGAAUGGGCAUUAAAUCCCGUUCACCAUGUCAAGUUACGCAA